AUGAUAAGCCUGAUGAGUGGGGGAAGAGCUAUGUGUGUACACUUAGCAUGCGUGUGAAUAGGAUGUCCACAUGAACAAUAACUGUAAUCUUAUUGCACAAGGCCACUUCACGAAUGGGAGCCAGGUACGACAUGCCGCGGAUGCACCAUAGUAGCCCCCUAUGCUUCCUCGACAGCCUACUGAAUAUCAGUAAACCUCGCUCGCCUUUUGAAGGAGAUGUGUGUAUUUACCGAGCGGUCUCCACCACACAUUGAUAAUAAGAUUUGAGUGCAAGACGUCCCCCUCCGCACUCUUCCUGGCUGACGAGGGUGGGAUUUGAACCCACGCCCUUACGGACUAGAAAUUUCUCAUCCUGGUCUGAACCAGGUAGUCCUGAAUCUAGCGCCUUAGACCGCUCGGCCACCUCAUCAUGCUGUGCACGUGCACCCAGCCGAUAACGUUUGUGUACACCAAAACGCAACAGACCUUCAUGCAUCCCUGCCGUGCAAUUUGCUCGACUUUUUUCGAGUGUUACAAAAUGAUGUUCGAUAUGAACAUCAAGCAUGUACAUACAUACAAGUUUNNNNNNNNNNNNNNNNNNNNNNNNNNNNNNNNNNNNNNNNNNNNNNNNNNCGUGGAUGUCAAAACGAGGGGGAAAGGGGGAAAACGCGGCGGGGUGGAAUAGUUAGGAGGGUGUGUUUCAGGGCAUGACGGGGGGCCCCUGCAACCUAGGCGACGCAUUCGUUUGAAUGUCACCAUGGCCGCAGUCGGGGGAUGGCAAAACGAGGGGGGAAAGGGGGAAAAUGCGGCGGGGUGGAUUGGUUAGGUGGGCGUGUUUAACGGCAUGACGGGGGCCCCCUGCAACCUAGGCGACGCAUUCAUUUGAACGUCACCAUGGCCGCAGUCGGGGGAUGGCAAAACGAGGGGGGAAAGGGGGAAAAUGCGGCGGGGUGGAUUGGUUAGGAGGGCGUGUUUAACGGCAUGACGGGGGCCCCCUGCAACCUAGGCGACGCAUUCAUUUGAACGUCACCAUGGCCGCAGUCGGGGGAUGGCAAAACGAGGGGGGAAAGAGGGAAAACGCGGCGGGGUGGAAUGGUUAGGAGGGUGUGUUUAACGGCAUGACGGGGGCCCCCUGCAACCUAGGCGACGCAUUCAUUUGAACGUCACCAUGGCCGCAGUCCGGGGAUGGCAAAACGAGGGGGGAAAGGGGGAAAACACGGCGGGGCGGAAUGGUUAGGAGGGCGUGUUUAAGGGUAUGACGGGGGGCCCCCGCAACCUAGGCGACGCAUUCGCUUNNNNNNNNNNNNNNNNNNNNNNNNNNNNNNNNNNNNNNNNNNNNNNNNNNCCGUCAACAAUGGCAUUUAAAUGUGGUUCCCAGCCAGCUGCCGACUUCAAUCUGCUUAGCCCUUUCUAACUGAAAUGCACUGAAUUUUCUUUUCUUUUUUGCCAAGAUGGCUGGUUUAAAGCUGCUGUUGUUGCCCUUAAAAGCAUAAGCAUGACAACCUGGGAAUUGCCUUGUUCCUUCUUCCCUUGGAACCCCACAGCUUCCCAGGAGAGAGAAGUGCAAACUUAAAAUCAAGCAAGAAGAGCAAGGAUGACAUACUCGCCGAGGGACGCAAGCAGCGGGAUGCCUGGGACCGGGAUUUUGUUGCAGAGGUUAAUAAAGUCAUGGAUGAAGUUGUCCAACACAACUUCAAUGAGAGGUUCUGCCGGGUAAGGCCCCUAACAGCAGCACAACUUGUCACUACACACUCAUGAAGCACUGACUUGCUUGCAGGCCACAAUCAAGGCAUCGAACCUGCCUCUGUCCAUCAAGGCACCACUGUACAUCGGCUUCUGCACAGAGUAAGUGGAAGGAUGCCAUCGAGUUUGUGUACUGCCACACAAACUGUAAGUGUGGCAUUUAUUGCAGCUGCAGUUGCAUGCUUGGAAACCCCACAUAACUGCACAACUCCUUGUAUAACACGCAGAUGUGCUGUCCAAGUCUGCAUUGGAGUACUGGAGGAUCAGCCAGGCGUGCCUUGAAAAGAAGAAGCGGGCAAUCAUGGUAUCGAUCAUCCGAGUGGCAUUUGUGAAUGCCAAGGCAGCUGUAAGUACAUGUUGUUAAAUAGUUCUGGGCUGACUCUACUGUGUUUAGCGGUUUAAGAUCCUGGGUUCGAUUCCCGGGGAGAUCCCCAAGUUCGGGGGAACGAGGGUAAGCUAGCUGCUGAGAUGUGGAGUUGAUUUUAAAGUUGAUUGAUCAGGUUGCAUGCUGGUAAGGUGGUGAUUUCUGAACCCUCCGUCUCUUCGGAUGUCCGGGUGAAUGGACGAGGAAGGGCCCCCCGAGCAUCCCUCCAGCUGCUAAACUAUUAUUCCAACAGACUAUAUCAAUUCGGCCCAUAUGCUGCAUUUGCAGGGAUCCUGCCAGACCCCUGCCACGGCCCCAGCCGUCAUGAUGGGUGAGAUGAACAGUGGUGCCACCGAAGCAGCAGCAGGUACGCGGGGUAUGGGUUAUGGGUAUGAUGUAUUAUGACAUGUCAUUGUGGAUGUAUCCAUGGCACAUGUCAUGCAGUUGCUUGUAGGUUCCUGAACAUCGCAGGGCACCAGUAUCAUGCAUUUUGGGUCUUACAUAUGCUCACAUCUUGAUGUUCUGCUAGCAGGUCUCAGCUCAGAUGGCCAUGGCUGCACCGGAAGCGGCUGUGAUUGCUGGCAAAACAAUUAUGGGGCCAGCUGGUUGUGAGCCAGAGGGUGACUACCUGGAGGACCUGAUUGGCGAGAGACUUGACGAUGUCAUUGCAGAGUAUGGGGACACCAUGGCGACGGGUGGCACUGGUGGUGGUGCAUAUGGGAUGCCUGACCAUGAAACCAUGUGGUGCACCGCCAUCACUGCUCACCAGAUGCGGGCUGAGCUUGCUGCAGUGAAACAAGCUGCCAGGGCACACACUUAAGUCCCUGAAGGUUUACGGAUUGAGACCUGCAAGGAGUGAAGUUCAUAGUUAUGAUAUUGAUAAUGGAAGGCAGUUGUGGUUCAGGAAUGUAGUUGAGCUGCAGGUAAUCUGGCUUACUUUAUAGGAUGCUACUGGUGGGUGAUUUACCUGAUUGAUCCACUGAAACAUUGAGGUUUGUCACCUUAACGGUGUGGAGUGUUGGAGUACAUACAUUUAUUUGCGAUAGCAGACUUGGAGUCUGGAGCCCACAUAUUGAUGGGUUGCUGGUCAUGACUUAUAAGCCCACAGUGAACAACUUCUGGGAUGUGCGCAAAACAUGGGCCAGGGGUGGUCAUGGAGUGCAGUGUAUGACUCAUGUAAACAAUGUAAAACAUGUGCCAAUGUGGUCAUGGAAUGCAGUGUACGCGUCAUGUAAACCAAGCAAAACAUGGGCCAGGGUGGUCAUGGAAUGCAGUGUACGACUCAUGGAAUGUGUGCAAAACAUGGGCCCGGGUAGUCAUGGAGUGCAGUGUACGACUCAUGGAAUGAGUGCAAAACAUGGGCCAGGGUGGUCAUGGCCUGCAUUGUUGCAUCAUGGAAUACCAUGCACAAUAUGACCUGGUCAUGUUCCGCAUAUUUAUGAGCAGGUACAUGACCACCUUUAUGACCUCAUGGGGUCAUAAAGUGCAGCCAUGACUGAAUACGGUCAUAUUGCGGUCCCAUGACCUGUCAUAAAUCCCAUCAUAAAUGACAUCAUGACCACGCAUUUCAUGACCCCAACCAGUCAUAUCCUGCACUUGCUUAUGCAAACUAUGAACUGAUCCAUGACCGGAUCCAUGACUUAAUGACAAAUUAUGACCGGAUCCAUGACCACAUACAUGACCAAAUCCAUGACUUGAUGGCAAAUUAUGGCCGGAUCCAUGACCGCAUCCAUGACCAAAUCCAUGACUGGAAAACCCAUCCAUGACCAAGUCUUUCCCCGAGUGCAUCUUAAGUGUUGGAAUCAAGUGUCUUUCUGGUUGGGCUUGUUACCCAUAUGCAUACCUGUAUCCUGGUAGCCCAUCACAUCAGGAACAAUAGUGACCUGUGCCUGGCUCAAGUUAUUAAAUUGGUUCACGUGUUUCAACUUCCACAAACAACGAAAUGAUGAGCAUGCAUAUGUGCAUUAUAUAAUUAUACAUAGCACAUGAUCCAAACAGUCAUGAUAAGCCUGAUGAGUGGGGGAAGAGCUAUGUGUGUACACUUAGCAUGCGUGUGAAUAGGAUGUCCACAUGAACAAUAACUGUAAUCUUAUUGCACAAGGCCACUUCACGAAUGGGAGCCAGGUACGACAUGCCGCGGAUGCACCAUAGUAGCCCCCUAUGCUUCCUCGACAGCCUACUGAAUAUCAGUAAACCUCGCUCGCCUUUUGAAGGAGAUGUGUGUAUUUACCGAGCGGUCUCCACCACACAUUGAUAAUAAGAUUUGAGUGCAAGACGUCCCCCUCCGCACUCUUCCUGGCUGACGAGGGUGGGAUUUGAACCCACGCCCUUACGG
rnacentral:lncRNA from 1 species